GUAUUUUUGUAGGGUAACUGCAGGGAUUUCCUCCUCUUCUUCCGAAGAGGAGAGGCGAAAAGGAUCAGAGGACCAAUAUGCGGCGUGUUCCUGUGCAAAUGUAAUGUCAAAUUCUGGAGGGAGUGAUCGUGGACACGGGCCCCUCAGAGCUAUAGCUGCUCAGGACGAGGUUCAAAUGGGGAUCAAGCAUAAAUACUGGAGGCUGAGACAGGAGGGGUCAGGAGACACUGUGGCCCCAUCCGAGGACACCCCGGACAGGGCCAAACAGGAAGGAUUUUACCCCACCCACUUUGCCAAAGCACAGCCCCCACACCACUAGAGGGAUAUCUUCAACCACCAACUUACCAUCCUGAGACGAGGCUGAGUAUAGCCCACAAAGAUCUCCGCCACGGCACAACCCAAGGGGGUUCUGACCAAUCCUAAAACAAGGAAAACACAAAAGAACUAUGGUCAGAACGUGACAUCCUGUUUCUAUUCUCCCAUAGGGGGUUCCCCUUCUGUAAAGUUCUGUCUCUAUUCUCCCAUAGGGGGUUCCCCUUCUGUAAAGUCCUGUUUCUAUUCUCCCAUAGGGGGUUCCCCUUCUGUAAAGUCCUGUUGCUAUUCUCCCAUAGGGGGUUCCCCUUCUGUAAAGUCCUGUUUCUAUUCUCCCAUAGGGGUUCCCCUUCUGUAAAGUUCUGUCUCUAUUCUCCCAUAGGGGGUUCCCCUUCUGUAAAGUAAUGUUUCUAUUCUCCCAUAGGGGGUUCCCCUUCUGUAAAGUCCUGUUUCUAUUCUCCCAUAGGGGGUUCCCCUUCUGUAAAGUCCUGUUGCUAUUCUCCCAUAGGGGUUCCCCUUCUGUAAAGUCCUGUUUCUAUUCUCCCAUAGGGGUUCCCCUUCUGUAAAGUUCUGUCUCUAUUCUCCCAUAGGGGGUUCCCCUUCUGUAAAGUAAUGUUUCUAUUCUCCCAUAGGGGGUUCCCCUUCUGUAAAGUCCUGUUUCUAUUCUCCCAUAGGGGGUUCCCCUUCUGUAAAGUCCUGUUUCUAUUCUCCCAUAGGGGGUUCCCCUUCUGUAAAGUCCUGUUUCUAUUCUCCCGUAGGGGGUUCCCCUUCUGUAAAGUCCUGUUUCUAUUCUCCCAUAGGGGGUUCCCCUUCUGUAAAGUCCUGUUUCUAUUCUCCCAUAGGGGGUUCCCCUUCUGUAAAGUCCUGUUUCUAUUCUCCCAUAGGGGGUUCCCGUUCUGUAAAGUUCUGUCUCUAUUCUCCCAUAGGGGGUUCCCCUUCUGUAAAGUCCUGUUUCUAUUCUCCCAUAGGGGGUUCCCCUUCUGUAAAGUCCUGUUUCUAUUCUCCCAUAGGGGGUUCCCCUUCUGUAAAGUCCUGUUUCUAUUCUCCCAUAGGGGGUUCCCCUUCUGUAAAGUCCUGUUUCUAUUCUCCCAUAGGGGGUUCCCCUUCUGUAAAGUCCUGUCACCUUCCUCUCACAAGGUUUAUGGAGAUACGUAGGCUCUGUAGAAAAUUAGGUUUGCUCAAAUGACAAAAUAAUGAAAAAGGCUUUUGUUUCAUUGAAGGUCUUGAGACCAUAGUCAAUGCCUGUGUAGAAACUGCACAAUAACAAAACAGACUGAUGAUGUAACAGAUUCUGUAGCUGACACACACUGUGACGUUGUUUCUCUGUAAUCCUGGUUGUUGUCUUACUACCUCCACACGUAGAACUCCUAAUCACACAUGGCUGUAUGAUCGUAGGGUACAGCUUAAAAAUACCUACAUGGGGAAGACGUAAGAGACACUGACGAUAGACAUUUACACCAUGUGUCCAGACUCUGACAUUACUGCUAAUCCUCACAUGGAAAAUCUUAUUCUGUCUACCUGAUCUGAAACUCACUCUGAAACUGAAGCGGUUUGUGCUGUUUCAUCUCAGGAGAAUAAGGACAGACAAUGUACUGUUUUAGUUGACUCAUGUCUGUUAUGUGGUGAUAUGUCAUAAAAGUUACAAUGGUUGUUUUGUUUGACCAAACCAAAACAAGGUUAUAAGCGAGAUCAACAGAGUAGCUAAUGUGUCUCAUGUUUCAGUUCCACGUGCAAUCAAGUGCAGUUCAAUCCUAAAUAUGAGUUUACAAAACAACGAGUCAACAUCACUCCAAUGGGGCUUUCCCCCUUACUUAAAAAACAAGGAUCUUGUCUUUGUUUAGAAGCACAAAACAAUCUCUGAGUUUGUCACACACAAAAAUAAAUGUUUAUCUCCACCAGUCAUUUUGGCUUUGAAUUAAUGAUUAAUUAUUAAUGUCUGCUAUAGUCCAGGAAAUCAUGUGUGUGACCUACUUAUUUCUUUUAACAACAAAAAAUUGUCACUCCACAUCCACAAUAAACUUUAUUGCUCUGUUACAACCAAGCAAUCAUUGAAAAACUCAUUUAAGCUACUGAAUGUAUUAAGAAUUGAUCAUGUUAUCUUUCUGUUACAGAAAGUUAUACUGUGUCUGAUUGACUUAGAGCUUCCAUAUCUUUUCCCCAUGCCACAUUACAACAGCAGCCCAAACUGCAAUGGAUAAAUGCCUCAUGUUGCAUUACCUUCACUCAGUUCAGGUAUUUGACCAAUCUCUGCCAACUCACACCACUUCAGCAUUUAGCUAUGCUCUAGUCACAGUCAGAGUUGCUUUUUGUCCCCCCCGUUACACAGAGAGAGAUACCUGAGGGAGUGUCUCGAAAUCCUUAUAGGUAAAGUGCUGUUUCAAAGUUGUUUGCCAUAUCCCAUCAACACUGAACCCACAGGUAGGGGGAGGGGCUUCCCCCAUGAUCACGCCAGCAUCGUUCACACAUCACAGCUCACCAAUAGGACGAGAGGAGAGGGUGUGCGCGUGAGAGAGACUAGUCCAGUCCUCACUCUAAAAGGGUUUUGUUUCAAGUAAUGUCACUGUGAAACAUUACAAUAUAUUGCAUCAAUCUUGAUGACUUCAUCCCCUUCAUCCCUAGGUACAUAGGGAUAAACAUAGCUGUAAAAAUGACCACUAAUUGUGAAUAACGUACAAUGCCUAGUUCUCACCAGAUUCCCAGCUCUUAGAUAUUUCCAGAUCUGAAAGUUCUGUGACCAGCAAAAACAAGUGUAUAUACCGAUAUACAAACAAUAUAAUCUAUAAUUAUAUUCUGUUCUAAGAAUUAAAGAUACAUGACACGUUGGUUUGUGGUGACACUUCAUGACACAAUGGUCUACUUAUUAUUUCACUUUGUUGCUUUACCCAUAUCGCUGUUUCUCAUGCUAGCCAUGGCUCCCUGGGCUCAGUGAUCUCUCCUGUCAUUUGAAGCUGCAGCCGCAAACCUCAGCAAGCACAAAGCUGGAGGAGUGUUGUUUGAUUAAUGACCGUCGCGUUGAUACAUUCCCUCACAUGUGGUUUGGCUAUUGUGUCACGUGGUUAACCAACACAGAACAACUCUGGGGUCAAUUGAAAUACAGCUAUAUUUCUUGUCCUCUGUUUUUAUUCUAUUCAUUACUUUGUCAUCUGCCAAUAAAAAAGAAUCAUCCAAAGGGC